rnacentral:lncRNA from 1 species
UUUUUUGAGGAAAAAGAAAAAAAAUUAAAAAAAUUAAUAGAAAAUCAAUAAUACUAGGAGUCUGGUAUGACUCAAACUAUUAAAUAAUACAAAAAAACUAUUGUUCUUUAGGGUAAACUUCAAAUAUCACCCCUGUGGUUUCACACUUUCUCACUUUAAUAUGCUGUAGUUUAAAGUGUAUCAAGUUAGUGUUCUGUGAUUUUAUUUUUAUCUUUUCAUCAGCUUUUCCGUUAAUAUUUCGUUAAACUAUAUACAAAAAAUUUUAAAUACUCCACCUAGAUUUAUCGAAUAUUCACUUUAGUAUUCUUUAAUUUUAACUUUGUCACUGAUUUAACGNACAAGAUUUUUUUUUUUUUUUUGAUUUCCCGAAAAGAUGCUCUCAACAGGAACCUUUUUUUGAGGAAAAAGAAAAAAAAUAAAAAAAAUUAAUAGAAAAUCAAUAAUACUAGGAGUUUGGUAUGACUCAAACUAUUAAAUAAUACAAAAAAACCAUCAUUCUUUAGGGUAAACUUCAAAUACCACCCCUGUGAUUUCACACUUUCUCACUUUAGUAUCCUGUGGUUUAAAGUGUAUCAAGUUAGUGUCCUGUGAUUUUAUUUUUAUCUUUUCGUCAGUUUUUCCGUUAAUAUUUUGUUAAACUAUAUACAAAAAACUUUAGAUAUCUCACCUAGAUUUAUCGAAUAUUCACUUUAGUAUUCUUUAAUUUUAACUUUGUCACUGAUUUAAUGAAAAAAUAGUAGAAUCGAUAAUAAAAAGACAAAAAUGAAACCACAGGGCACUAAAUUGAUACACUUUAAACCAUAGAGUACUAAAGUGAGAAAGUGUGAAAAAAUCACAUGGAUGGUAUUUGAAGUUUUUUUAUUCUUUAAUAACUUAAGCUGAUAGAGAACCAUAUUUAAUAUUUUUAUAUUUAACAGAUGAAACAACGAAAUAGGAAUUUUUCAAAAUUGUUUGAAAUGUAAGGAAUAUU